rnacentral:rRNA from 1 species
GAUGAACGCUGGCGGCGUGCCUAAUACAUGCAAGUCGAGCGAACAGACGAGGAGCUUGCUCCUCUGACGUUAGCGGCGGACGGGUGAGUAACACGUGGAUAACCUACCUAUAAGACUGGGAUAACUUCGGGAAACCGGAGCUAAUACCGGAUAAUAUAUUGAACCGCAUGGUUCAAUAGUGAAAGACGGUUUUGCUGUCACUUAUAGAUGGAUCCGCGCCGCAUUAGCUAGUUGGUAAGGUAACGGCUUACCAAGGCAACGAUGCGUAGCCGACCUGAGAGGGUGACCGGCCACACUGGAACUGAGACACGGUCCAGACUCCUACGGGAGGCAGCAGUAGGGAAUCUUCCGAAAUGGGCGAAAGCCUGACGGAGCAACGCCGCGUGAGUGAUGAAGGUCUUCGGAUCGUAAAACUCUGUUAUUAGGGAAGAACAAAUGUGUAAGUAACUAUGCACGUCUUGACGGUACCUAAUCAGAAAGCCACGGCUAACUACGUG